rnacentral:misc_RNA from 1 species
GUCGAAGGUGGGGCUGAUGACUGGGGUGAAGUCGUAACAAGGUAUCCGUACCGGAAGGUGCGGAUGGAUCACCUCCUAACAGGGAGACAACACAAUGAUUUUGAUGCCUGAGUACUUUUAUUCUUAGGCCGAAAUCCUGUCACCUUAGGUCGAUCGGUACCUCAGCUUUGAAGUCAAGGAUCAGCAGCAAUGUUGAUUGCUUGAUGGAGAUUUUUAGUUCCUAAACUUUGUCUAGGUCACACCCCAAAAGGGAUGAGACUCCUGGGCCAUUAGCUCAGGUGGUUAGAGCGCACCCCUGAUAAGGGUGAGGUCCCUGGUUCAAGUCCAGGAUGGCCCAUUCGGUGUUGGGGGUUUAGCUCAGUUGGUAGAGCGCCUGCUUUGCAAGCAGGAUGUCAGGAGUUCGAGUCUCCUAACCUCCACUGACCGAACUUGAUUCCCAUCUCCAAUUUUUUGGAGUUGAGCUCGAUUGGAGUGUGAUUUAGAUGUGUCCGCUGGAUGACCCCAGCUUCCUGUCAUUCCAAGUUUUAGAUUUUAAGUCUUAAAUUUGGUUGAUAAGAUGCUGGGCUCGGAUCAAAUAAUCAAGCAAUUGAUGAUUUGAUUUGAAGUUCUAGCAGAACCUUGACAACUGCAUAGGUGAAGUCUGGAAAAACAAAGCAUCUUACAGAUGCAUUGUUUUGAAUCUGAUCUUCUGAAAGGGAGAUUGGAUCUAGAACAAUGAAAAUUCUUUUGAGCAAGAGCCGAGACUCUUAAAUGUUCUUUGAUUCGUGUCGAGCGAAUCAGAGUUUGAUCUUGUUUUUAGCAAUAAAAACUUGAGAAUCUGCUUUCAACGGCGGUAAGCGUUUAAGAGGUUAAUUGGUCAAGCUACAAAGGGCUCACGGC